GACGAACGCUGGCGGCGUGCCUAAUACAUGCAAGUAGAACGCACAGUUUAUACCGUAGCUUGCUACACCAUAGACUGUGAGUUGCGAACGGGUGAGUAACGCGUAGGUAACCUGCCUGGUAGCGGGGGAUAACUAUUGGAAACGAUAGCUAAUACCGCAUAAUAUUAAUUAUUGCAUGAUAAUUAAUUGAAAGGUGGAAUUGCACCACUACCAGAUGGACCUGCGUUGUAUUAGCUAGUAGGUGAGGUAACGGCUCACCUAGGCGACGAUACAUAGCCGACCUGAGAGGGUGAUCGGCCACACUGGGACUGAGACACGGCCCAGACUCCUACGGGAGGCAGCAGUAGGGAAUCUUCGGCAAUGGACGAAAGUCUGACCGAGCAACGCCGCGUGAGUGAAGAAGGUUUUCGGAUCGUAAAGCUCUGUUGUAAGAGAAGAACGGGUGUGAGAGUGGAAAGUUCACACUGUGACGGUAUCUUACCAGAAAGGGACGGCUAACUACGUG
rnacentral:rRNA from 1 species